rnacentral:lncRNA from 1 species
UUUUUUUGAGCAAAGGUCUAAGUUUAUUUCAAACUUGCCACAAGGGUACUAACUUCAAAGAAAGCCUGGUCAAAUCUUGCUUCCACAAACAGAAUCUUUAUAAAAACAAAACAAACAAAGCAAAACCACUGUCUUGAUAAGACAGUUGGCCUAGGUGCAGAGAGGAACAUCUGUUAAAGUUUAUUGAUCCAGCUCCAAGAUUGUUACAAGUUUAAAUUUGCAAAACUAUGAUGUAUAGAUCCAUUUUGCAGGCUAAAUUCUAAUUUCACUGACCUGGAAGUUAAUCAGAUACACAACCAACUAGUAAAGAAAGAUUGCUCAAGUAUCUUAUCUAAAAAUAAUUAUAUUUUUUUCUCAGAUCUGUGACACUUCAUGUCCUUUUUUAUUCCUAAAAUUAAUCCUCAGAAAAAGGUGAGACAACAUAAACUGAACGUUCUAAUGUAUACUAUCUAUCAUGAAUAAAGACAGCAACACAAAUUUUUUGUGACUAAUAAGAAUUAUUAGUAAAAAUAAAAAUAAUAGUAGUAAAUAUUCAAUGUCAUCGCAUUGAACUAUGAAGAGACAUGAUCAGACCCUACUGAGAAAACUUCAGUGGUUUUCUAUCCUUUACCACACUCUAAAUGGAAUAUUCUGUCAACUAACAAAUUCUCUCCAUUUUGAUUUCCAUUCAUUAAGUAUUCUUAUCAUUAUUUGACUAGCUGUAAAAAGCGCUUUGUGGUCAGAGAAACCUGGCUUGAAUUAUCUGCCCCACCAAUUAACCAGCUUUGCAGGCUGGAAAAAUUAUUUAAACUUUCUGAACAUCAGUUUCCUCAUUGCUAAAAUAGAAAUCUUUUCUCAAUUAGAAAAUAGAAUUCUCAAAUAGAAUUGUUACAGUUACAUAUGAUAACACAUGUGAGGUCCUGCUGUGGCACAGUGGGUUAGGAAUCUGACUGCAGAGGCUCAGGUCACCAGGAGGUGCAGCUUCAAUCCCUGGCCCAGCCCAGUGGGUUAAAAGAUCCAGCACUGUCACAGAGGUUGCAGCUGAGGCUCAGGUGCAGCCAUAAACUUUUUUUGUUUUAAUUUUUAAAAAAGACUAACUUGGAAGAUAAUGCAUGUGAAAGUAUUUGGUACAAAGUAAGCAUCUAAUAAACUAUAAUUAUUUUAAUUAAAUCACCAUCACCAUAAUUUUUUCCCAGCUAGCAUGGGUAUACUCUGCCCAUUGCAUGGCAAAGAAAUCAAAGCACUAGAUUUGAGUCUUAGCUCCAAAUCUUAUUACCUAUGAGAUCAAAUAGAUCAUUUAAGGUUUCUCAUUUGAAUUCCUUAUCUAUAAAAUUGGGGUAAAGUAAGAACUACAUUACAGAGUUGUGGUGACAACUAAUUGAAAUAAUACAAGGAAGUAUCCACUGCCAAUAUGGGGUAGUUCUUUUUUUGUUUUUUUGUCUUUUUGCCCUUUCUAGGGCUGCUCCCGCGGCAUAUGGAGGUUCCCAGGCUAGGGGUCUAAUGGGAGCUGUAGCCACCGGCCUAUGCCAGAGCCACAGCAACGCCAGAUCUGAGCCGCAUCUGUGACCUACACCACAGCUCACGGCAAAGCCGGAUCCUUAACCCACUGAGCAAGGGCAGGGAUCGAACCCCCAACUGGUUCCUAGUCAGAUUUGUUAACCACUGAGCCACGAUGGGAACUCCUGGAGUAGUUCUUCACUAAAUGAUAUUGCUCUUACUCAGCAUGUCCAGAUUUUGUAUUCUGGCCAAUGGAGAGGCAUUUUGCAUUCCUGUGUUAUAAGUGAAUAAACUGUCAUUUAAUUUGUUUGUUCAAUAGUUAAAUAUUUUUAGUGUGAGGUGGUCCUCUAGGCCCUCAAGGGCUACUCAUCCCUGGAGAAAGUGAUCAAAUCACCUUAAAAAACAUGUAAAAUUGUGGAUGAAAUCAGAUUAGCUCACCAAUCCUUUUCCACCUAAGAAGUCCUGCCCCAUGAAAUCAUUUGUUCUUUAGUAAAAAUGACUGUAAGCAUAUUAAAAAGAAAUGAAAAUCAGAGUACUGAGUUCCAUAUCACAUCUAAGUAGGGAAAAAUGGUUGCAAAUUUCCUGUGGGUAAAGUCCAAUUUGAGGUCCAUUAGUUGCUAGACAUGAGAGUAGUUUCUCAGGAGCUUGCACCCUCUUGUCGUCCGUCACACCCGACCUCAGCUCUGGGCCACACAAACUGAUGUCUGCUCUGUGCUUCUGCCGUGCUGAAUUACCUGCACUUCCUUAUGUCAACACCACUGUACCAUCUAGUCCCGCCCUACCUUUCUUCUACAAGUGCAUAAAUCUGAAGACUCAGCUCAAGCAUCAUUUCCUCUGGACAGACUCUUCUCUCACAUCAUCAAUACGCUUCUUCAGUAUUUCUUUGGACUCUGUCUUAAAGUUCACUAUAGACAUCCCAGGGAGUAUGUUUUUUAUGCUCCAUCUUCUCUAAAGCAUGAAGUGUAGACACUGUAUCUUAGUUCCCUUCUCCCCUGACUUUUCUUAUUUUUUACCUCAGGCCUAGCCAAUAGUAAAUUCCCUCUCUCUCUUCCUCCCUCCCUCUCUUCUUUUUGGCCAUGCACAUGGCAUGUGGAAGUUCCUGGAUCAGGAAUCAAACCCAUGCCACAGCAGUGACCCAAGCCACUGCAGUGACAACACCAGAUCUUUAGGCCACUACACCAAGAGAACUCUAGUUAAGUUCUCACUAAUACUUAACUUGAGACUGAAGAUCAAAAAUUGAGAUAAAAAUAAGCAGUCAUAACUUUAAUUGGAGGGUAGAUGGCAAGUGUUGCGAUCUUCCGGUGUGUUAUUCUUAGCAAGUUUUCUGUUGUUAUUUGUUUUAUUUUGGUUUUAGUGUAAAGUACAUUUUUAAUCUCUAAAAGGGGAGUAAUAAUUAUUAUUCAAGAUGAUUGCAAGAUUUGGACAUGAUAACUCGUAGAUGCACAUAAGGUAGUACUUGGACCAAGGUGAGGGAUAAGUAGGUAUUGCUAACCUAACCCAAUGAUCAGUAGUCUUGGAGUUCCUAUCUUGGCACAGUGGAAACAAAUCCAACUAGGAGCCAUGAGGUUGUGGGUUCAAUCUCUGACCUCACUCAGUGGGUUAAGGAUCUGGUAUUGCCGUGAGCUGUGGUGUAGUUCACAGAUAUGGCUUGGAUCCUGUGUUACUGUAGCUGUGGUAGAGGCCAGCAGCUGUAGCUCCAAUUGGAUCUCUACCCUGGAAACCUCCACAUGCUGUGGGUGCAGCCCUAAAAAGCAAAAAAAAAAAAAAAAAAAAAAUUAUCAGUAGUUUUUCAUAAAAAACAACUUAAGCACAAUAAUCAGUGACUGACAUAGACCUUACUAAAGAUUUCAAGGGAAAAACAGAGAAAAGUGUUUAUGUUUCACUCCCCACCACAAGCCACAGAAAAUCCUCAGUGGAAGGCCUCUUCUCGGCAAUAACAGUACUGGGGAUUUCCUCUUUGACCCUUGAGUAACUACCUAGGGGUAGAAUAGUUGGCUUAUAUAACAGAUGAAUGCUAAACUUAAGAAAGAAAGAAAGAAAGAAAGAAAAACCACCAAACAGUUUUUAUAAGGUUUUGUACCAGUCUACAUUCCCACUGAGAGUAUCUGAGGGGUCUAGUUUUUCCACAUCUUCAUUAACUUUUGGUAUAGUUGGUAUUUUAAAAUUUUAGUCAUUUUAUAUCAUAUCCAUAAUGCUCUUAACAUCUCUAAUACAUAAAGAACUACUUAAACUAGUAAGAAAAGAACAAUCAAAAAAACAGACAUAAUUCUUGCAAAAGUACUUAACUAAAGACAAGACGGUUAAUUCAUCUGCUGAGAGUAGGAAGAGCCUAAGGAGAAAGAUGAAUCUUUAAAAUAGGCCAAGAAAGGAACGAGAAUCACUCAUGACUCAGACCACAUGACUCAGAAGGAUUCCGUGGUAACAGUGGGAGCCCAAUUGAGGCAUUAUUCAAUAGGGUUAAAUAAUUUCUUCAACACUGUUCAGUCUCUUGGGAACAGCAGCAGAUAAACAGGGUCCAAAUCAGAGAUAAUAAUUAUCACAACGAAUUAUUCAAUGAGAAAUAACAGGGUGUGAAAACUGCUAAAACCAACAACUCCCAAAUUCGAAUGAUUUACCUCACAGAGUUUCUCACCUGACAUUGAAGUGCAGGUCAGUGGAUGGUCUCUAUUCCACACAGUCACUCAGGGACCCAAGAUCCUUUUAUCCUGUCUCUUCUGUAAGUUUUUGAAGGUCUCUUCAUUCAUCUAGCGGAUGUAGUAAUAAUGCUGGGAUUAGACAUGGGAGGCUUUGAUGAGCUAGGUCUGGAAGUGCCACACAUCCAUUCAAACUUCACGGCCAUAACUUUGUCACUGGUUUGAUCUAAUUGCCAGGAGAAAGGGAUAAAGAAAUUACAUAUCCUGCACAUGAAGAUAAUAAACACAGUGAUAGCCAUGUUCAGUCUCUGACACACAAGGCAAAAGUCAGGUAUCAGAAUAUUUUUCAGUAUAAGAUAAAAUAGAGAUAUGGGAAUUUUUCAAGCUCAGUUUACAUAGUGACAUGAUGUAUUAGACACCUUCAUCUCCCACUUCUCUUCUGUAACACUAGUUCAUGCCCCAGCUCCUUAACUUUUUUAGCACUUAGGCCAGUCUUCCUUUCUGCCUUAUUCCUGGCAUCAUUCCCAGUUUGUACAUGAGCAUUCAUAUUCCUCCAACUCUGUGCCAAGAAUUCACAUUUGUGUUUGAGUUCACUCCCUCUACAGAGAUCCAUUCUAGCUGCCUGUGGUCUGGUUUACCUUUGUGCUCAGUAGUUGGUUUCCUCUGUUGUUUUCUUCACUGACUCAAAAUCCUAUUCAUUCUUCAAGGCUCAGCAUAGUUCAAAGAACAUUUCUCUGGGGAGCUCUUGCAUAAAAACCAAACACCUGGAGUCCCCAUCAUGGCUCAGUUGUUAACGAAUCCGACUAGGAACCAUGAGCAGAUGUUUUUUCUUAAGUGUGUGUGUGUGUGUGUGUGUGUGUUCAUAAUCCUGAGCACAUGUAUUCAUGGCACAGAUCCAAUAAAUAUGAUCUCAUCAGAAAAGUUCUGAGAUUCUCAUUUCUGCAGUAGAUGGUGAAAAGAUUUAAACUCAUGUGUUAAGUAUAAGAAAUACACAGAUACUCUUUUUUAACAAGAAGGAAUCCUGAAUAAGCAAGCACAAAAUGUAUCUCAGUAAAUAGGGAAGACUAUAUAAACUGUAUCAUGUUAUGCAAAUACAAAGCAUUAUUAUUACAAAGUAGAAUAAAAUUAAAGUUACAAUUUUGUAUGUUCUCCAGUUACCAUUAAGAAUCCAGUUCAUAACUCCGUUUUUUAUUGCUUUUCUUAAAUUCUCUGUUGGGAGAAAUUAAACUCAUUGGCUAUUUUCCACCAAAAAAUUGCUUAAUAGAGCCAAACACACUUCUGUAACUGCUCCUUUUUCCUAAAUACUGCAGGAAAGCCCCAUGGACAUCUGGUUUAAGCAAAUAGAGGCAUAUGACCAAUUAUGCAUGCAAAGUGGAGAGAAAUGACAAAAGAUUCAGAAAUUGAGGGUUCACAGCAAAAUGUGUCCUUUAAUAUAUAAAAUAUAUUUCAGAGAUAUAAAUUUUUUUCUACCGCACAUGAAACUGACAAAAAAUAAAUAUACCAAACCCUUUCAUUGUCUGUAAGGUUCAUCUUUGUAGGAAUCUUGUUUACAAAUUCGCUUUUCAGGAAGUUGAUUUAUAGCUUUGAGGUUGCUAUUCCUUAAAUGUUUCUAAGAAAGUAAAAGUUACCAAGUUAGUACACAGAAUUAAAAACUGAGGCUGAAAUAAAGAAUAAAGACAACUAAAAAUAUUUCAUGCCCUCAUUUUUUUUUUGAAGCCUUGAAGUGAUUUUUUUUUUUAAGAGUUCAUGUUAUGACCCUAGUUGAAAAUACUUCUCUCUCAUUGUCAUUUUAUUCUGUACAGCAUUAAACAACAUGGAAUCUAGGUUACUUCUGAUUAACUAAAGAUUGAAGGAGACAGAGUAAUUUCAGGUUUAACCAUCUCCUGACUAUUCUAUGGACUUCUAUAGUAAAAUAAAAUGCAAGCAAAAUAAAAUGAAAAUAAAAUAUAAAAAUAUUUAUAUGAUUUAACUAAAUUAAAAUAGAUUCUGAUAAUUAGCACUACCACACAAAGGGCAAAAAUGUGUCUGCAGAGAAUACACUGGCAUUCCUUCAGUAACAACAAUGAUAUAUUAAGCAUCUACCUCAUGUGAGGUGCAGUAAGAGUUGAUUUAUAGGUUACACCUAUUAGCCAGAGUGGAGUCCCCCACCACCUCACCACUCACCAGACAACACAUCUGUAAAAGAAAUUCUGGAACCAGUCAUGUUGGGAAAAGAUAUGGCCCGCUAAAUCUACCACCCUGUUUUUCUUGGUCAUGUCCUAAGACUUAAGGUCAUCUGCCCUUUUAGGUCCUCAGUCACUCUCAUCUAUCCAUCCAUUUAUUCAAAAGCAUGCAAUGACUUACUGUGAGUUAGGCACUUCUUUAUGGGAUGCAAACCAGAUACAUUUCCUAUUCCCACAUUACUUUAGUAGAAGAGACAGUUAUCAAAUAGUUACCUAAAUGCCUAAAUAGUUAUGCAUUAAAAUAAGAGCUGUGGUAGAAAGGUAUCAUAUGCUACGAGAAAGAAUAUUAGUGAGGUCUAAUUUAAUUUGGGGACUUAGAAAAAAAAAAGAACUUUAAGAAAAUAACUUUUUUUUUUUUUUUCUUUUCUAGGGCUGCUCCAGUGGCAUAUGGAGGUUCCCAGGCCAGGGGUCUAAUCGGAGCUGUAGCUGCUGACCUAUACCACAGC